CCCUUAGAUGUCCGGGGCCGCACGCGCGCUACACUGAAGGAAUCAGCGUGGCUUUCUCCCUGACCCGAAAGGGUUGGGAAACCCGUUGAAUCUCCUUCGUGAUAGGGAUUGGGGCUUGAAAUUGUUCCCCAUGAACGAGGAAUUCCCAGUAAGCGCGAGUCACAAGCUCGCGUUGAUUACGUCCCUGCCCUUUGUACACACCGCCCGUCGCUACUACCGAUUGAGUGGUCCGGUGAGGCUUUGGGAUCUGAGCGGAAAGAGCGUUUCGCUGUUUCUGCUCGGAAAACUCAGUCGAACCUUAUCAUUUAGAGGAAGGAGAAGUCGUAACA
rnacentral:rRNA from 1 species